rnacentral:lncRNA from 1 species
UUCAUUCCUUUUCUUUUUGUCUUCUCUUUGCAAUAUUUCACCCCUCUUUUCCUUCGUGUUGUUAGGAGGAGUUAUUCUGCCAUUGCUUAAAAAAGAGGAGUGAAUUCUCACGGCCAAAGAGGCACAAGUGAAAAAGAGGUAUGCACAAGAUCUGAUUUUUAAUGAUGUCUUACAUAAGCAAAUUGGCAAGAUAAGAAACAAGUUAUGGUUAGACACGUUAUUGUUGUUUUUAUAUUCAAAAAUCCACCAUAGAUUUUGCUCUGUUUUGUAUCCAUCAUCGUCACCUUAUCUUUCUCAUACAUUUUGCUUUUUUUUCCCGAAAAUUUUAUGCAUGUCAUUUCCGUUGUAGCAAUUCAUCAAGCAAUUGAAACAAACAAUUAAUUAGAAAUUUGCUUUUCCAUGAAACUGUUGAUAUCAUGCAACAACUUACGCUUUGAAGAUAUUAUUUCGCAGCAUGGAGGAGACAUGCAACUAUGUCCAUGCUUUUAUAUUUAUUCAAAGUGGGGUUUUUCUAUGUCGCCUCUACGUUAGCUAAGUGAUUCGCCUUAUGCUAUUUACCUUAAGUCUCAAGGUGUUUACGCUCAGCUAUAUUAUGGGAAUCAUCCCAAGGGUUGGUAUAAUUUGGUGAUCAAGUUAACAAUGGAUUUUUCAUAUGGACAUUUAGAGAAAAUAACAUCAAGUUGGGUCAUUUUGUAAGAUUGGAAGAUUUGAGAUUGAAAAAAAUGGGAUAUUCAAUAAAGCCAUGUGCAUUCAAUAAAGAUUUACAGGUACUUUAUCUACAUGUAUUGCCACAAACAAAUGCUUCAUACAAUUUUGAGAUUUUUUCCUUGGUUAAUUUUUAUGUUAUUUGAAAGGGAAGUUGCAGAUACGUUGAAUUGUAGCUUUUGCAGUCCUUAUUCAAUUUUUGUUGACUGGUGUAUUUGAAAUCGUUUUGUAUGGGUAAGAAAUAGAAUCGAGUAGGGGUUGGGGGUUAGAUCAGUUUGUGAGUUUUUUGUAUAGAAUAACUGAGGUACAAACUUCAACCCCUAUUAGUAGCUUACUAUUCCUUUACCCCUCACGUAAUUAAAAAUGAUGGACCUGAACAGAGGACGAUGAGAUUACAUCAACAAUAAGAAACUAAGCCGGCUUGGGCAUUAGUAGUACUGGGAUGGGUGAUCCCGUUGCAAGUAUUAGGACACCACUUGUGGGAUUUCACUCAGUAGGUGUGUUGUUGGACCUGAAUGGAGAGGAGGUUUCAAACCCCUCUUUCUGCUCCUGGUAUCGUAUUUAUUUACUAGUAAAAGUGCAGCCUUGUAGGGGAUAAUAAACCUAUCUGACUAAUAAGAGGAAAGGGCCAAGUGGCAGAACUGACCCCUAACAAGUAGUUCUCUUUCCAUACACAUAAGGUAAUUGAAAUAAGCAGUGACAAGCUAAGUUUGGCAUAGUAUAAAAAGAAAAUUAAUUAAUAUUUUUUUUCUGGUACUGAUCAAUUAAAAAAAUUUAAAGUGUGUAUAUAUAUAUCUUCUUUGUUUUCAUUCAAGUCAUUCUUUAGGGUCAAAAUUUUUGCUCAGACAAGAAUUAUUUUUAUCAAAAUCGAAGCUUUGUAAUCACUAUUGUAUUGUUUUGUUGUAGUUUACAAGUCGUGAAUGAAUGUCGAUUGGCUUUAAGGAAUUUCUUGUGUAAAUGUUAGGUUUAAUUAUAUUAUUUGAAUAUCUCUAUUAGCUUGAUGCUUUGAAAGGAUUUUCUUGUCUUUUUAACUCUUUUGAGCUGCCCAAGGACCACUCUUCUACUUAUGAUGUAAGUUUACUCUUUAUUAUUUAAAAUUAAAUAAUUUAAUUUAUUGUGGAGAUUUUUUAUUGAAGUGUAAAAGUUUCUAACACUUUUCAAAGUUUCUUCACAAAUUUGGUUAUAUUGCAACGCAGACACAGAAGAGAAGGAGGAUCGCUGGACUUUCAAAAUUCAUCCUUUUUUUAUUUUUAUGUGUUGAUGAUUUGCUUGCUUUCAACAAAUUUUUGAGGCAAGUUCAUUAUUUGAUUCGGUUCUUUUAAGAAUCCUACAUAUAGCGGAAGCUUAAUCUUCAGGCAAGUUGAUUAAUUUGUUAGUACUUUAGCAAUGUAUAAGAGGACUAUGAGG